CCUACCCCGAAGGGCCUGACAAUGCCUUAAAGACCACCUGCCGAAGAGGCUACCAUCGAAUGGUCAGCGAGUCCUCCCGAACCUCCUAACACCAAUGAACUGAGCAGCAACAGAGACAAAAUUUGUUUGAGAGAAAAGAGGAACUUUUAUUGAUGAUGAUGUAAAUAUUUACAGACUUCUGAUGUACUGACAUUGAAUCUACUGAAAGUACUUCCUAAGCCUGCCAGCGUGCCAAGUAUUUU
rnacentral:lncRNA from 1 species